rnacentral:rRNA from 1 species
GGGAAUUUUGCGCAAUGGGCGAAAGCCUGACGCAGCAACGCCGCGUGAGUGAUGAAGGCCUUCGGGUCGUAAAGCUCUGUCAGAGGGGAAGAACCACCCAUGGGAUAAUACCCUGUGGGCCUGACGGUACCCUCAAAGGAAGCACCGGCUAACUCCGUGCCAGCAGCCGCGGUAAUACGGAGGGUGCGAGCGUUGUCCGGAUUUACUGGGCGUAAAGAGCGCGCAGGCGGUCGUUCAAGUCGAGUGUGAAAGCCCCCGGCUCAACUGGGGAGGGUCACUCGAUACUGAUCGACUCGAAGGCGGGAGAGGGAAGCGGAAUUCCCGGUGUAGUGGUGAAAUGCGUAGAUAUCGGGAGGAACACCAGUGGCGAAGGCGGCUUCCUGGCCCGUUCUUGACGCUGAGGCGCGAAAGCUAGGGGAGCGAA